GACGAACGCUGGCGGCGUGCUUAACACAUGCAAGUCGAACGGAAAGGCCCUGCCUUUGUGGGGUGCUCGAGUGGCGAACGGGUGAGUAACACGUGAGUAACCUGUCCCUGACCUUGGGAUAUCUUCAGGCAACUGGGGCUAAUACCGGAUAGGAGCUCCUGCUGCAUGGUGGGGGUUGGAAAGUUUCGGCGGUUGGGGAUGGACUCGCGGCCUAUCAGCUUGUUGGUGGGGUAGUGGCUUACCAAGGCUUUGACGGGUAGCCGGCCUGAGAGGGUGACCGGCCACAUUGGGACUGAGAUGCGGCCCAGACUCCUACGGGAGGCAGCAGUGGAGAAGAUUGCACAAUGGGCGGAAGCCUGAUGCAGCAACGCCACGUGCGGGAUGACGGCCUUCGGGUUGUAAACCGCUUUCGCCUGUGACGAAGCGUGAGUGACGGUAAUGGGUAAAGAAGCACCGGCUAACUACGUG
rnacentral:rRNA from 1 species